CACUUCUAAGGAAGGCAGCAGGCGCGCAAAUUACCCAAUCCUGACUCAGGGAGGUAGUGACAAGAAAUAACAAUAAACCGGCUUAUGCCGGUUUAAUUGGAAUGAGUACAAUUUAAACAUCUUAACGAGGAACAAUUGGAGGGCAAGUCUGGUGCCAGCAGCCGCGGUAAUUCCAGCUCCAAUAGCGUAUACUAAAGUUGUUGCAGUUAAAAAGCUCGUAGUUGGAUUUCUGUGGGGACGGAGCGGCCGGCCGCACAUCGCGGUUCGAGCUAGCGCUUUCCCUACAUCCUGCCGCGAACCGUGCUACCAUUAAUUUGGUGGCGCCGGGGAUCGGCUCGAUUACUUUGAGAAAAAUAGAGUGUUCAAAGCAGGCCACAUGCCUUGAAUAAGUUAGCAUGGAAUAAUAACUAAGGACUUCGGUUCUAUUUUGUUGGUGUUCGGGACUGAAGUAAUGAUUGAUAGGGACAGUUGGGGCGGUCUGUAUUCCAAAGCGAGAGGUGAAAUUCUUAGACCUUCGGAAGACAAACAGCUGCGAAAGCGUUCCGCAAGGAUGUUCCCUUUGAUCAAGAACGAAAGUUGGGGGAUCGAAGACGAUCAGAUACCGUCGUAGUCUCAACUAUAAACUAUACCAGCUAGGGAUCGGCCAACGUUAUUUUAUACCGACUUGGUCGGCGCCCUAUGAGAAAUCAAAGCAUCUGGGUUCCGGGGGGAGUAUGGUCGCAAGGCUGAAACUUAAAGGAAUUGACGGAAGGGCACCACCAGCCGUGGAGCCUGUGGCUUAAUUUGACUCAACACGGGAAAACUUACCAGGUCCAGACAUAGUAAGGAUUGACAGAUUGAUAGCUCUUUCUUGAUUCUGUGGGUGGUGGUGCAUGGCCGUUCUUAGUUGGUGGAGUGAUUUGUCUGGUUAAUUCCGUUAACGAACGAGACCCCAGCCUGCUAAAUAGCGCGCGUGAGCUUUGCUCGCGGCGAGCUUCUUAGAGGGACUAUGAUGCGCGAUAGCACAUGGAAGUUUGGGGCAAUAACAGGUCUGUGAUGCCCUUAGAUGUUCUGGGCCGCACACGGGCUACACUGGCGCCUGCAACGAGCAUAUCAGCUGGCCCGAGAGGGUCUUGGCUAAUCUUUUGAACCGGCGCCGUGCUUGGGAUUGACCUUUGCAAUUGUUGGUCAUGCAACGAGGAAUGCCUUGUAAACGCGAGUCAUCAGCUCGCAUUGAAUACGUCCCUGCCCUUUGUACACACCGCCCGUCGCUCCUACCGAUGAAUGUUCCGAUGAAAUUUUCGGAGAGUGCCUGUGAACUUGGCUCUGCCUUGCGAACGGGAAGCUCAAAGUCACUUAAAUCUGAACAUU
rnacentral:rRNA from 1 species